rnacentral:lncRNA from 1 species
CUGAUCCAAAGCAUAAAUAAUUUAAGCACAUGCAAUUAGGGUUUUAACAAGAAGCAAAAGCUAGGGUUUAAACCCUAAAAUGAGGUUUUAUUUGCAUCUGCAAAAUAAAUUAAUUCAAAAUAUUUAUUUAUCUGUCCCAUUGGACAGAGGACAAUAAAACAAAAUUUUGGGCACUGGUUUCAUUCAAAAAAGACUUCUAGUUAAUUAGUUAUGAUUGAAAUGGCAUAAAACCCUAAUCUGUAAUUUGAAUGUGAUUCAAAUAUUCAAAAUUGAAUUUGGACAGUGCGCACUUAGGGAAGGUCGGGAAUGGCGGGCGCGAGGAUUGCGGCGACGCGGGGAUCGCGCGCGUGACCGGCGGCGCUUUCCUUCGGGGAAGACGCAGCUAACAGGUGGACCCCGCCUGUCAGCGACUGCGGGCGCGCGCACGCGGACCGGGCGGUCUGGGCCGGUCGGGCGCGGUCGGACUGGGCCGGUUCGGCCCAUUUUGGCCGGGCCGGUCCGGUUUACCCUUUUUUUUUUCUUUUAGGCCUUUUCUUUUUCUGUUUUUCUCAUUUCUUUGAUAUCUUUUGUGUUUGAACUCCAAAUUGGUCCAAAUAAAUUCCAGAAAUUUUUUAAAAUCAUAUUCUACCAUGAUACAACUUUUGGGAGUAGUUUCUCUUCAAAAUAAAUAUAUAAAAAAUACAUUUGCUCUAUAAAUGCCUUUAGGGCCAUAUAUCUAUUUAAAUAAAAUACUUUUUCAACUCUAAAUAAUUAUCCAAAAAUUAUGGGAUCGCUUAUAUAUGCAUUAAACCCCUUUUAUGCAUAAACCCUAUUGGUUUGAAAAUUCCAAAGCUCAAAUAGGUGUAAACAAAAUCUUUUAAAGCCUUUUGUGUUUCAAAUUUGAAUUCAAACAUGCAAUUGUGGCAUGAUGCUCAUGGAUGAAAUGCACAUGUAAAGGUUUGAAAUUUUGGGAUGUUACAGACCUAACCCCCUUAAGAUGAAUCUCGUCCUCGAGAUUCGGUGUGGCUAGCAAAGAGGUGUGGGUGGUCUUCUCGAAGAUCAUCUUCGCGUUCCCAAGUGGCUUCUUCUUCUGUGUGAUGGUCCCACUGAACCUUGCAGAACUUGAUGGUCUUGUAUCGGGUUUGUCUCUCAGCUGUGUCCAAGAUUUUGAUUGGUUUCUCCUCAUAGGUGAGGUCACUCUGUAAUUGAACUUCCUCCAGUGGAAUUGUAUCCCUCAGGGGUGUGUCGGCCAUCUCGGGGUGACACUUCUUCAGUUGCGAUACGUGGAAGACGUUGUGGACAUUGGACAGUGCUUCCGGCAAAUCCAACUUGUAGGCUACCUCUCCUUGUCGCGACAAGAUCUUGAAGGGUCCAAUGAAACGGGGUGCUAACUUUCCUUUUAUACCAAAUCUCUUCACUCCGCGUAUCGGCGAAACUCUGAGAUACGCUCUAUCUUCAGCUUCAUAGGUAACCUCCGUACGUUUUGUAUCCGUAUAG